UACGUAGGGGGCAAGCGUUGUCCGGAAUCAUUGGGCGUAAAGAGCGCGUAGGCGGCCCUGUAAGUCCGCUGUGAAAGUCAAGGGCUCAACCCUUGGAUGCCGGUGGAUACUGCAGGGCUUGAAUCCGGGAGAGGGAUGCGGAAUUCCAGGUGUAGCGGUGAAAUGCGUAGAUAUCUGGAGGAACACCGGUGGCGAAGGCGGCAUCCUGGACCGGCAUUGACGCUGAGGCGCGAAAGCUAGGGGAGCAAACGGG
rnacentral:rRNA from 1 species